CUUGUAUCAUUCAUCACAUGUACAGCCAUUAUUUAUUAAAUGAUCAAAAAGUACACCAAGUACAUAGACACUAAACUGAGAAGACCGGCAACAUUCGGUAACAUCAUUCUAGAAGUACAAAUCAAAGAUUUUCAAGAUUAGAUGACAUAGUCAUUAGAGCAAAAAGUAGUAUUUCAGUAAGAAUCUAAGCUCCUGGAUCAAUACAAAGAAUUGAUCAAGAAAAGGAAACAACUAAUCAACUGGCAUUCUCCAACCAUAGGAGGAUUUAGCAACUACAACUAGAUGGAAUGUUUUCAUUCUGCUUCACUGACCAUUGUUUUCCACAACUCUUCAUGAAAAUGAAAUCAUUCAAUGCCAUCCAAUCAAGAUUUUAUCUUAGUUCCAUUCAACAAUAAAUAUAGACGCUAUCAAUAAUACAACACAGAGAACUGAUAGGUCAG
rnacentral:misc_RNA from 1 species